CGACCGCUCCCAUUCGGAAGCUAAGGCCACACGGACAGCCGGGUCGGAUGCCGA
rnacentral:sRNA from 1 species